GGUGGCUCUAAAGGUCGUGAGUUAUCUCGAUUAUUGUUCACCAUCAGAGCGCCUUGUUCAACACUCUUUCUCUACUUCUCUCUACUGUACUUGAGUGGUCUUAA
rnacentral:Y_RNA from 1 species